UAGGGAAUCUUCCGCAAUGGACGCAAGUCUGACGGAGCAACGCCGCGUGAGUGAAGAAGGAUUUCGGUUCGUAAAACUCUGUUGUUAGAGAAGAACAGCGCAUAGAGUAACUGUUAUGCGUGUGACGGUAUCUAACCAGAAAGCCACGGCUAACUACGUGCCAGCAGCCGCGGUAAUACGUAGGUGGCAAGCGUUGUCCGGAUUUAUUGGGCGUAAAGCGAGCGCAGGCGGGCAAUUAAGUCUGAUGUGAAAGCCCCCGGCUCAACCGGGGAGGGUCAUUGGAAACUGGUUGACGUGAGUGCAGAAGAGGAGAGGGGAAUUCCAUGUGUAGCGGUGAAAUGCGUAGAUAUAUGGAGGAACACCAGUGGCGAAGGCGACUCUCUGGACUGUAACUGACGCUGAGGUUCGAAAGCGUGGGUAGCAAACAGG
rnacentral:rRNA from 1 species